rnacentral:rRNA from 1 species
GGGGUGCAACACGAGGACUUCCCAGGAGGUCACCCAUCCUAGUACUACUCUCGCCCAAGCA